AUGGAUAUGGAACACGAAAUACCAAAAAAAUUAGGUGUACUUGCUACUCAUGGAGAUGGGGAACCUCCUAAAACCCUUGAUGCUUGCUAUGUUCAAAAUAUUAUGUACUACUUUGAUAAUCCUGAGAAAACCCCAUUAAAUUAUGUUAUGGGAGUAACUCUGGAUCAACGUGAAUACUUUAGGGAUUAUUGCUUGACACAAAAAGGGAAAAUAUUAUGGGAUCAAAGUUCUAUGUUGCGUUGGUAUGCUCGGGAUCUAUGCUUGAGAUAUGAUUAUAAUUCUUGCUCUAGGAUGAAGGCUCCACACCUUCCCUUUUCAUGCAAAUUUAAUGAUAAUAAAACCUUAGCUUCUUAG
rnacentral:rRNA from 1 species